CGGUGGAUGCCCUGGCAGUCAGAGGCGAUGAAGGACGUGCUAAUCUGCGAUAAGCGUCGGUAAGGUGAUAUGAACCGUUAUAACCGGCGAUUUCCGAAUGGGGAAACCCAGUGUGUUUCGACACACUAUCAUUAACUGAAUCCAUAGGUUAAUGAGGCGAACCGGGGGAACUGAAACAUCUAAGUACCCCGAGGAAAAGAAAUCAACCGAGAUUCCCCCAGUAGCGGCGAGCGAACGGGGAGCAGCCCAGAGCCUGAAUCAGUGUGUGUGUUAGUGGAAGCGUCUGGAAAGGCGCGCGAUACAGGGUGACAGCCCCGUACACAAAAAUGCACAUAUUGUGAGCUCGAUGAGUAGGGCGGGACACGUGGUAUCCUGUCUGAAUAUGGGGGGACCAUCCUCCAAGGCUAAAUACUCCUGACUGACCGAUAGUGAACCAGUACCGUGAGGGAAAGGCGAAAAGAACCCCGGCGAGGGGAGUGAAAAAGAACCUGAAACCGUGUACGUACAAGCAGUGGGAGCACGCUUAGGCGUGUGACUGCGUACCUUUUGUAUAAUGGGUCAGCGACUUAUAUUCUGUAGCAAGGUUAACCGAAUAGGGGAGCCGAAGGGAAACCGAGUCUUAACUGGGCGUUAAGUUGCAGGGUAUAGACCCGAAACCCGGUGAUCUAGCCAUGGGCAGGUUGAAGGUUGGGUAACACUAACUGGAGGACCGAACCGACUAAUGUUGAAAAAUUAGCGGAUGACUUGUGGCUAGGGGUGAAAGGCCAAUCAAACUGGGAGAUAGCUGGUUCUCCCCGAAAGCUAUUUAGGUAGCGCCUCAUGUAUCACUGUAGGGGGUAGAGCACUGUUUCGGCUAGGGGGUCAUCCCGACUUACCAAACCGAUGCAAACUCCGAAUACCUACAAGUGCCGAGCAUGGGAGACACACGGCGGGUGCUAACGUCCGUCGUGAAGAGGGAAACAACCCAGACCGCCAGCUAAGGUCCCAAAGUCAUGGUUAAGUGGGAAACGAUGUGGGAAGGCAUAGACAGCCAGGAUGUUGGCUUAGAAGCAGCCAUCAUUUAAAGAAAGCGUAAUAGCUCACUGGUCGAGUCGGCCUGCGCGGAAGAUGUAACGGGGCUAAACCAUGCACCGAAGCUGCGGCAGCGACGCUUAUGCGUUGUUGGGUAGGGGAGCGUUCUGUAAGCCUGUGAAGGUGUGCUGUGAGGCAUGCUGGAGGUAUCAGAAGUGCGAAUGCUGACAUAAGUAACGAUAAAGCGGGUGAAAAGCCCGCUCGCCGGAAGACCAAGGGUUCCUGUCCAACGUUAAUCGGGGCAGGGUGAGUCGACCCCUAAGGCGAGGCCGAAAGGCGUAGUCGAUGGGAAACAGGUUAAUAUUCCUGUACUUGGUGUUAUUGCGAAGGGGGGACGGAGAAGGCUAGACCGGCCGGGCGACGGUUGUCCCGGUUUAAGCGUGUAGGUGGGGUGACUUGGCAAAUCCGGUUACCUUUAACACUGAGGCGUGAUGACGAGGCACUACGGUGCUGAAGUGGUUAAUGCCCUGCUUCCAGGAAAAGCCUCUAAGCUCCAGAUAACACUGAAUCGUACCCCAAACCGACACAGGUGGUCAGGUAGAGAAUACCAAGGCGCUUGAGAGAACUCGGGUGAAGGAACUAGGCAAAAUGGUGCCGUAACUUCGGGAGAAGGCACGCUGAUAUGUAGGUGAAGUCCCUUGCGGAUGGAGCCGAAGCCAGUCGAAGAUACCAGCUGGCUGCAACUGUUUAAUAAAAACACAGCACUCUGCAAACACGAAAGUGGACGUAUAGGGUGUGACGCCUGCCCGGUGCUGGAAGGUUAAUUGAUGGGGUCAGCCACAAGGCGAAGCUCUUGAUCGAAGCCCCAGUAAACGGCGGCCGUAACGAUAACGGUCCUAAGGUAGCGA
rnacentral:rRNA from 1 species